rnacentral:rRNA from 1 species
AUACGUAGGGGACGAGCGUUGUCCGGAAUUACUGGGCGUAAAGGGCGCGCAGGCGGAUAUUUAAGUCAGCUGUAAAAGGCAUGGGCUCAACUCAUGUAUGCGGUUGAAACUGGGUAUCUAGAGUGCUGGAGAGGUAGGCGGAAUUCCCGGUGUAGCGGUGAAAUGCGUAGAUAUCGGGAAGAACACCAGUGGCGAAGGCGGCUUACUGGCCAGCAACUGACGCUGAGGCGCGAAAGCCAGGGGAGCGAACGGGAUUAGAUACCCCGGUAGUCCUUGCAGUAAACGAUGUAUGCUGGGUGUGAGACUAGCGAUAGUUUCGUGCCGAAGUUAACGCGAUAAGCAUACCGCCUGGGGAGUACGGUCGCAAGAUUGAAACUCAAAUGAAUUGACGGGG